CAGAAGUUCUCCAUCAGAAACUGCAUGGGAGCAGGAGGAGGGCAGAAGGAGCAUGACAUUCCGAGCCGAGGCAGACCCGGUGAUGUUAAAGUGGCGUUGCUGACUCCACACGUGACAAUCCGACAAUCUGUACUGUGACGGUCUCAGCCGAGCAGACGAGAGGAGGCAUGAGAAACUCCCAUCCUCCCAUUGAAGAGUUUAUACGAGAACCUUCUCGUCCAUCACAGCCUGCGUUUCCUGGGAGGCAAAGUGCUUGGGGUUCCAGUCCGGAGAGAGAGAGAAAGAGCUGCUGCAUCGACCAAGGCUGCAGAAUCUCGGAGAGGUGGGCCUGACCACCUCCCCAGCCUACCACUCCCCUGCCCAGGCCCUGGGGGCUGAGUCAAGGAUGGGGGCGGGGGGUUGAAGUAAGAAUCUUAACAAUAAACAUGUGUUGACACUUA